rnacentral:rRNA from 1 species
AUUGCACGCUGGCGGCAGGCCUAACACAUGCAAGUCGAGCGAGCGGCGGACGGGUGAGUAAUGUAUGGGGAUCUGCCCGAUAGAGGGGGAUAACGACUGGAAACGGUAGCUAAUACCGCAUACGAUUGGAGCGGCCGCUAUCGGAUUAGCUAGUUGGUGGGGUAAAGGCUCACAAAGGCAAAGAUCAGUAGCUGGUUUGAGAGGACGACCAGCCACACUGGGACUUAGACACGGCCCAGACUCCUACGGCAGGCAGCAGUGGGGAAUUUUGGACAAUGGGGGAAACCCUGAUCCAGCCAUCCCGCGUGUAUGAGAAGGCCUGCGGGUUGUAAAGUACUUUUGGCAGAGAAGCGGUAUCUGCAGAAUAAGCACCGGCUAACUACGUGCCAGCAGCCGCGGUAAUAC